ACCUGGGUGGCUCAGUCGGUUAAGCGUCUGACUUCAGCUCAGGUCAUGAUCUCACAAUGCGUGGGCUCGAGCCCCAUGUCAGGCU
rfam:Felis catus isolate Cinnamon breed Abyssinian chromosome B4, whole genome shotgun sequence.